UUAAGUUUUGGUCCUAAACUUCCUGUUAUUUAUAAUCAAAUUUACACAUGCAAGUCUCAGCAAACCAGUGAAAAUGCCCUUUAAUCCUACACAGAUCAACGGAGCAGGUAUCAGGCUCAACUUUUUUUAGCCCAAAACACCUUGCAUUGCCACACCCACACGGGAUUUCAGCAGUGAUCAACAUUAAGCAAUAGGCGUAAACUAAGCCUGACCUAGUUAUGAUUAUAAAGGUCCGGUAAAUUUCGUGCCAGCCACCGCGGUUAUACGAAAGGUCCGAAAUAACAUAAUCGGCGUAAAAUGUGGCUAGAAUAAUACAAUUAAGGAAGAAUACUGCCACGUGGUAAAAUACAAGAGCGAACAAGAAUGCCCAUCAAAACACCCUUAAAACAUUUGACCCCACGAAAGCCAGGGAACAAACUGGGAUUAGAUACCCCACUAUGCCCGGCCCUAAACCUAGAUAGAGUCUUACACACUAUCCGCCAGAGAACUACAAGCGAAAAGCUAAAAACUCCAAGGACUUGGCGGUGUCCCACAUCAACCUAGAGGAGCCUGUCCUAUAAUCGAUAACCCACGUUCAACCUCCCCAUUUUUUGCAUCAAUUCAGUCUAUAUACCGCCGUCGUCAGCCAACCUUAUGAAAGUAUUAAAGUUAGCAGAAAAGUAGAACACUAAAACGUCAGGUCAAGGUGUAGCUUACAAAAUGGCAGAGAUGGGCUACACUUUCUAUCAAAGAAUACACGAACAGCAUAAUGAAAACGUGUUCAAAGGUGGAUUUAGUAGUAAAAUUAAAUAGAAAAUUAAUUUUAAAAAGCCCUGGGACACGCACACACCGCCCGUCACCCUCAUCAACAUUUAACCACAGUAUAAAUAAAAACACACACUCAUAAUAGAUGAGGCAAGUCGUAACAUGGUAAGCAUACUGGAAAGUGUGCUUGGACUA
rnacentral:ncRNA from 1 species